rnacentral:rRNA from 1 species
AUUGAACGCUGGCGGCAUGCUUUACACAUGCAAGUCGAACGGCAGCACGGGGGCAACCCUGGUGGCGAGUGGCGAACGGGUGAGUAAUACAUCGGAACGUGCCCGGUCGUGGGGGAUAACGUAGCGAAAGUUACGCUAAUACCGCAUACGAUCUGAGGGUGAAAGCGGGGGACCUUCGGGCCUCGCGCGAUCGGAUCAGCCGAUGUCAGAUUAGCUAGUUGGUGGGGUAAAGGCCUACCAAGCCGACGAUCUGUAGCUGGUCUGAGAGGACGACCAGUCACACUGGGACUGAGACACGGCCCAGACUCCUACGGGAGGCAGCAGUGGGGAAUUUUGGACAAUGGGCGCAAGCCUGAUCCAGCCAUGCCGCGUGCAGGACGAAGGCCUUCGGGUUGUAAACUGCUUUUGUAUGGAACGAAAAGGCUCUGGCUAAUACCUGGGGCUCAUGACGGUACCGUAAGAAUAAGCACCGGCUAACUACGUG